AAGUCGUAACAAGGUCUCCUUCCGUAGGUGAUGCCUAGGAAGCCUUAGCAGCCUGAAAAGGUCCGCUCCGCGACUUGGAAUAAAUAAUGGACGCAUAAAUGCUAGUCGGCGCGCGGCGCCGGCGACACCGUCAAAUUGCGGGAAGCGCCUAAAGCUCUCAGCUACCAAGCAGGCGAGGGAAACCUCACUGUGGCCAGGGUAAUGACCUCGGGUAUGGUAACAACGCUGGAGAUGAGUCUCUCAGAGGCGAAAUGGUUAAUCCGCAGCCAAGUC
rnacentral:misc_RNA from 1 species